UUAAGCGACUAAGCGUACACGGUGGAUGCCCUGGCAGUCAGAGGCGAUGAAGGACGUGCUAAUCUGCGAUAAGCGUCGGUAAGGUGAUAUGAACCGUUAUAACCGGCGAUUUCCGAAUGGGGAAACCCAGUGUGUUUCGACACACUAUCAUUAACUGAAUCCAUAGGUUAAUGAGGCGAACCGGGGGAACUGAAACAUCUAAGUACCCCGAGGAAAAGAAAUCAACCGAGAUUCCCCCAGUAGCGGCGAGCGAACGGGGAGCAGCCCAGAGCCUGAAUCAGUGUGUGUGUUAGUGGAAGCGUCUGGAAAGGCGCGCGAUACAGGGUGACAGCCCCGUACACAAAAAUGCACAUGCUGUGAGCUCGAUGAGUAGGGCGGGACACGUGGUAUCCUGUCUGAAUAUGGGGGGACCAUCCUCCAAGGCUAAAUACUCCUGACUGACCGAUAGUGAACCAGUACCGUGAGGGAAAGGCGAAAAGAACCCCGGCGAGGGGAGUGAAAAAGAACCUGAAACCGUGUACGUACAAGCAGUGGGAGCACGCUUAGGCGUGUGACUGCGUACCUUUUGUAUAAUGGGUCAGCGACUUAUAUUCUGUAGCAAGGUUAACCGAAUAGGGGAGCCGAAGGGAAACCGAGUCUUAACUGGGCGUUAAGUUGCAGGGUAUAGACCCGAAACCCGGUGAUCUAGCCAUGGGCAGGUUGAAGGUUGGGUAACACUAACUGGAGGACCGAACCGACUAAUGUUGAAAAAUUAGCGGAUGACUUGUGGCUGGGGGUGAAAGGCCAAUCAAACCGGGAGAUAGCUGGUUCUCCCCGAAAGCUAUUUAGGUAGCGCCUCGUGAAUUCAUCUCCGGGGGUAGAGCACUGUUUCGGCAAGGGGGUCAUCCCGACUUACCAACCCGAUGCAAACUGCGAAUACCGGAGAAUGUUAUCACGGGAGACACACGGCGGGUGCUAACGUCCGUCGUGAAGAGGGAAACAACCCAGACCGCCAGCUAAGGUCCCAAAGUCAUGGUUAAGUGGGAAACGAUGUGGGAAGGCCCAGACAGCCAGGAUGUUGGCUUAGAAGCAGCCAUCAUUUAAAGAAAGCGUAAUAGCUCACUGGUCGAGUCGGCCUGCGCGGAAGAUGUAACGGGGCUAAACCAUGCACCGAAGCUGCGGCAGCGACGCUUAUGCGUUGUUGGGUAGGGGAGCGUUCUGUAAGCCUGCGAAGGUGUGCUGUGAGGCAUGCUGGAGGUAUCAGAAGUGCGAAUGCUGACAUAAGUAACGAUAAAGCGGGUGAAAAGCCCGCUCGCCGGAAGACCAAGGGUUCCUGUCCAACGUUAAUCGGGGCAGGGUGAGUCGACCCCUAAGGCGAGGCCGAAAGGCGUAGUCGAUGGGAAACAGGUUAAUAUUCCUGUACUUGGUGUUACUGCGAAGGGGGGACGGAGAAGGCUAUGUUGGCCGGGCGACGGUUGUCCCGGUUUAAGCGUGUAGGCUGGUUUUCCAGGCAAAUCCGGAAAAUCAAGGCUGAGGCGUGAUGACGAGGCACUACGGUGCUGAAGCAACAAAUGCCCUGCUUCCAGGAAAAGCCUCUAAGCAUCAGGUAACAUCAAAUCGUACCCCAAACCGACACAGGUGGUCAGGUAGAGAAUACCAAGGCGCUUGAGAGAACUCGGGUGAAGGAACUAGGCAAAAUGGUGCCGUAACUUCGGGAGAAGGCACGCUGAUAUGUAGGUGAAGUCCCUUGCGGAUGGAGCUGAAAUCAGUCGAAGAUACCAGCUGGCUGCAACUGUUUAUUAAAAACACAGCACUGUGCAAACACGAAAGUGGACGUAUACGGUGUGACGCCUGCCCGGUGCCGGAAGGUUAAUUGAUGGGGUUAGCGGUAACGCGAAGCUCUUGAUCGAAGCCCCGGUAAACGGCGGCCGUAACUAUAACGGUCCUAAGGUAGCGAAAUUCCUUGUCGGGUAAGUUCCGACCUGCACGAAUGGCGUAAUGAUGGCCAGGCUGUCUCCACCCGAGACUCAGUGAAAUUGAACUCGCUGUGAAGAUGCAGUGUACCCGCGGCAAGACGGAAAGACCCCGUGAACCUUUACUAUAGCUUGACACUGAACAUUGAGCCUUGAUGUGUAGGAUAGGUGGGAGGCUUUGAAGUGUGGACGCCAGUCUGCAUGGAGCCGACCUUGAAAUACCACCCUUUAAUGUUUGAUGUUCUAACGUUGACCCGUGAUCCGGGUUGCGGACAGUGUCUGGUGGGUAGUUUGACUGGGGCGGUCUCCUCCUAAAGAGUAACGGAGGAGCACGAAGGUUGGCUAAUCCUGGUCGGACAUCAGGAGGUUAGUGCAAUGGCAUAAGCCAGCUUGACUGCGAGCGUGACGGCGCGAGCAGGUGCGAAAGCAGGUCAUAGUGAUCCGGUGGUUCUGAAUGGAAGGGCCAUCGCUCAACGGAUAAAAGGUACUCCGGGGAUAACAGGCUGAUACCGCCCAAGAGUUCAUAUCGACGGCGGUGUUUGGCACCUCGAUGUCGGCUCAUCACAUCCUGGGGCUGAAGUAGGUCCCAAGGGUAUGGCUGUUCGCCAUUUAAAGUGGUACGCGAGCUGGGUUUAGAACGUCGUGAGACAGUUCGGUCCCUAUCUGCCGUGGGCGCUGGAGAACUGAGGGGGGCUGCUCCUAGUACGAGAGGACCGGAGUGGACGCAUCACUGGUGUUCGGGUUGUCAUGCCAAUGGCACUGCCCGGUAGCUAAAUGCGGAAGAGAUAAGUGCUGAAAGCAUCUAAGCACGAAACUUGCCCCGAGAUGAGUUCUCCCUGACCCUUUAAGGGUCCUGAAGGAACGUUGAAGACGACGACGUUGAUAGGCCGGGUGUGUAAGCGCAGCGAUGCGUUGAGCUAACCGGUACUAAUGAACCGUGAGGCUUAACCU
rnacentral:rRNA from 1 species